GGUGGUAUGGCUCAAGUGAUAGAGUACUUGCCUAGCAAGAAUAAGGCUCUGAGGUUCAAAUCUCAGUACUACUC
rnacentral:tRNA from 1 species